rnacentral:tRNA from 1 species
CCAUGGCUGAAUGGUUAAAGCGCCCAACUCAAAAUUGGUGAAUUCGUAGGUUCAAUUCCUAUUUAGAAUUGA